GACGAACGCUGGCGGCGUGCCUAAUACAUGCAAGUUGAGCGCUGAAGGUUGGUACUUGUACCAACUGGAUGAGCAGCGAACGGGUGAGUAACGCGUGGGGAAUCUGCCUUUGAGCGGGGGACAACAUUUGGAAACGAAUGCUAAUACCGCAUAAAAACUUUAAACACAAGUUUUAAGUUUGAAAGAUGCAAUUGCAUCACUCAAAGAUGAUCCCGCGUUGUAUUAGCUAGUUGGUGAGGUAAAGGCUCACCAAGGCGAUGAUACAUAGCCGACCUGAGAGGGUGAUCGGCCACAUUGGGACUGAGACACGGCCCCAGCUCCGACGGGAGGCAGCAGUAGGGAAUCUUCGGCAAUGGACGAAAGUCUGACCGAGCAACGCCGCGUGAGUGAAGAAGGUUUUCGGAUCGUAAAACUCUGUUGGUAGAGAAGAACGUUGGUGGGAGUGGAAAGCUCAUCAAGUGACGGUAACUACCCAGAAAGGGACGGCUAACUACGUG
rnacentral:rRNA from 1 species